UACGAAGGGGGCUAGCGUUGUCCGGAAUCACUGGGCGUAAAGCGCGUGUAGGCGGUUGUGUAAGUCCGGUGUUAAAGCCCCCGGCUCAACUGGGGAGGGUCACGCGAUACUGAUCGACUGGAAGGCAGGAGAGGGUAGUGGAAUUCCCGGUGUAGUGGUGAAAUGCGUAGAUAUCGGGAGGAACACCAGUGGCGAAGGCGACUACCUGGCCUGUUCUUGACGCUGAGGCGCGAAAGCUAGGGGAGCAAACGGG
rnacentral:rRNA from 1 species